rnacentral:rRNA from 1 species
UGCGUAGGCGGUUAUGUGUGUCAGAUGUGAAAGCCCAUGGCUCAACCAUGGAACUGCAUUUGAAACUGCAUAACUUGAGUAUCGGAGAGGUAGAUGGAAUUCUAGGUGUAGCGGUGAAAUGCGUAGAUAUCUAGAAGAACACCAGCGGCGAAAGCGAUCUACUGGACGAAUACUGACGCUGAGGCACGAAAGCCCGAGGGGAGCGAAGA